GCUGGGCAUGGUGGAACAUGCCUGUAGUCCCAGCUACUCAGGAGGCUGAGGUGGGAGGAUCUCUUGAGCCCAGGAAGUUGAGGCUGCAGUGAGCCAUGAUCAUGCCACUGCACUCCUGCCUGGGCAACACAGUGAGAACCUGUCUUUA
ensembl:misc_RNA Metazoa_SRP Metazoan signal recognition particle RNA